AAGAAGAAGAAGAAGAAUCAUCAUCAGCAUUUUUGGUUUCAUUGGAUAAUGGAAAAUGUUGAAUGGAACCCUGAUAUUUCCAAAAUGGUUUUCAUGGGCGCAUGAAAUCAAAAUCAAAACACAAUCACUGACAAAUUGUCCUUCAAAAAUACUUCAUCUGUAAAAAAAAAAAAAAUACCAAUGGUCAACAAGUAUUGAUGAAUGACAACAACAACAA